rnacentral:rRNA from 1 species
CCUACGGGAGGCAGCAGUGGGGAAAUCUUGGACAAUGGGGGAAACCCUGAUCCAGCGACGCCGCGUGAUCAGUGAAGGCCUUCGGGUCGUAAAGAUCUUUCAGCGGGGAGCUAUGGUGAAGGUACCCGCAGAAGCAGGAGCGGCUAACUACGUGCCAGCAGCCGCGGUAAUACGUAGGCUCCAAGCGUUGUUCGGAAUCACUGGGCGUAAAGCGAGCGCAGGCGGCGCGCCGUGCCGGUCGUGAAAUCUCCCGGCUCAACUGGGAGGGUGCGGUCGAUACUGGCGAGCUAGAGUGCGGAAGAGGAAGGUAGAAUUCCUGGUGUAGCGGUGGAAUGCGUAGAUAUCAGGAGGAAUACCGGUGGUGAAGACGGCCUUCUGGGCCGCAACUGACGCUGAGACUCGAAAGCGUGGGGAGCAAACAGGAUUAGAUACCCUGGUAGUCCACGCCCUAAACGAUGCACACUUGGUGUGGGCUCUUCACUGGGUCCGUGCCGGAGCUAACGCGUUAAGUAUGCCGCCUGGGGAGUACNGUCNCAAGGCUGAAACUCAAAUGAAUUGACGG